rnacentral:rRNA from 1 species
AAGGAUCAUUAAAGAGAUAGGGCCACCAGGCCCAAACCUCCCACCCAUUGUUAACCAACUUUAAUUGCUUUGGCGGGCUGUUGGCCCGUCAGAGAACCUUUAAAAACCUGCUAUCUGUGGAGUCUGAGCAUCAUACAAUCGUUAAAACUUUCAACAACGGAUCUCUUGGUUCCGGCAUCGAUGAAGAACGCAGCGAAAUGCGAUAAGUAAUGUGAAUUGCAGAAUUCAGUGAAUCAUCGAAUCUUUGAACGCAUAUUGCGCCCCUUGGCAUUCCGGGGGGCAUGCCUGUUCGAGCGUCAUUACACCCUUCAAGCUCCAGCUUGGUGUUGGGCCCUGUGUCCUUGGGACAGGCCUGAAAAGCAGCGGCGGUGUGGCCCGACUUCAAGCGCAGUACCUUCAAAACCCGCUUUGGAAGCAUUGGACCAGGCUGGCCGGUUAACCCCCACUUAUCACUAUAGACCUCGGAUCAGGUAGGGAUACCCGCUGAACUUAA